ACUUUUUGAUGCGGUAUUUCUGAACUAGCCCAAUAACGCAUCAAAGAGUUCAACAUAAAUCUACAGAGAAUAGAAAAUGUACGAAUCAAAUGUGUGUCUACGGAAGAGAAAAAAGUGGAUCUAAUUGGCACCGUUUCAGUCUAUUGUGUCUAUCUAGGGUUCUCUCAAAAGUUUUGACCUAAAAAUAUUAGCUUCAAACUGGCCCUUUGUUAUCUUUAAAAGAGGUCAUUCUUCGGAUAUGAACGGUCAAGGAGUCUCGCUAGUUUUGCCGAGGGGAAAUAUCGGCUUCUGCGGAUACUCAUCAGAUCCUUAUUCUCUGUUAUUGUGAAACAGUUUUUAUCAGUGGAUCUACGGAAAAAAUAGUUUUUAAUGGAAAGCGCCCAUUUUUUUUGUUCAAGGUUACAAAGAAAAACAUUGUGGGUAUAGAGAGGGAUAAGAUGUAGCACGAGGGCAUUAGGCAUGGGAGGAAUGGUAAGACUUUUGCUCACUGAUAAAAAGUGUGAUGUGCAGUCUUACCCGGUCCUCCCAUGCCCACAGCCCUCCCUACCUAUCCCUCUUAUUUCACUUUGCUCCAAGAACAGGGCUACAGUCUCCAUUGGGACGGGCUUAGCUCUACGUUGGGAUGGGCUGUGCAAUGGUUGUCUGACAAGCUUUAUACAGUAAACCUUGGGGUGUUGCAUAGGUAUGUUUCAGAUUCCAAACGAAAGUUUUCAUCUUGUGUAUAAUCUUCAUGUAUGUAGGCCUCAUUUUCUUAUCUGUAAAGAUUAUCUAUUGUUUCUUAAUUCUUAAAAUGUUGAUCUGAACAUGAUACAUGUUUGUAGUUGUAGAAUGUUGAAUGGUUUCUAUUUCAUAUAUCUUAUCUGUAAAGAUUAUCUAUUGUUUCUUAACUUUUAAAAUGUUGAUCUAUUGUUUGUACUUUGUAGUUAUAGAGUGUUGAAAUAUAUAUAUAUAUAUACACACAUUCGUAGAAAUACUUUGACACUGCUAAAGUUAAAUAUAUAUAACAAAUUGGCAUUUAGGCAAGUUUUUUUUGGCUAAAGGCAAUCGCAACUGCAUCUUGUCAAAAAUAGAUUUUGUACUAUUUUCAAUGGCAUUCCCCAAUAAAGAUCAUUAGACCCACGGUAUGACUAUAAAACCGUCACUUGCAUGGGCUUAAUUGUGUACUUUCUGUGGCUCGCCGAGAUGUUCACUAGGUCCAACAGAUAGGUAUAAGAAGAUUGAUGGCAAUGCCUUGAAAUUUGUAAUGUUCGAUUACAGUUUGGUGAAUGGUAUUGAUUAAUACUACCAAUGGGUGAUUGUGAUAAUAGUAAAUACACUCUUUAGGCUCAGCCAUGUAUUUAUCUGUGAUGACAUGAUCUGUAUAUAUUGGACAGGACAGGAAUUCCGAUGCAGGAACACCUGUAGGUUAACGGGUAAUCAGCAUAAUGAAAACAACAAAAACAUAUUUUUUUUUGUUUUACUUUUUUAAUUUUUGCAGAUGGCUGACGUGGUUCAUUAAUAUCAAGAUGGAGCUACUUUUUUGGUUCGAGGAUCAUCGUUUGGGUGGGUAAUAGUGAUUCCUUAAUUUAAAGAUGGGCUUUCUUAAGUUUGACCGAAGAACAUCAAUUGGAUGGCUGAUAUGGGGUGGUUGAUUUCAAAUUUGUAUCAAAUUUCAUGCACAAGUUCUAGAAGUUUCCAAGUGAUUGAGUGUUGGCGAAAGCAAACCUAUGUAAAGAUAAUUAUGUAACCAUUUGAGGACAUCUUUUGGCUGUUGAAGAGCUGUUUUCCUGCCCCUUGCAAAUAAGAUCUUUUUUGGGCUACAUAUUGAUUCUCUUAGAUCUGAGGGAUAAAGUAUUAAAGCAGAGUAUUUGAGGUAUUGGCGAUCUGAGACAGAAGUGAGAAGUGUUAUCAUGUGCUGUGGGAAGUAAUUUCUGUAAUUGAAAUUUAUUUCUAGAUAUGUCUUCAGUUCACGGGAAUUUGGGAAUUUGCUGCAAUUUCCUGUUUGGAUGUUAUAGUACUGAGAUUGUUGCCUGUUGUGUUGAUGUUGUGUUGGUAGCUUAUCUCAUCAAAGAAGAGAUACACAAGCUGCUGGCAUCUUUACUAGAGGGGUAUUACGAUUCAUUGUAUCUAAAGUCCUGACUGUUAUAGCUUCCAUGCCUUAAAAUCAGGAUCCUUCACAUUUGGUCCACAAAUUUAUUUAAUUCAAUCGUAUUAACUUGUUUAUC